CUAUGCCCUAGGGCUAGUGGAAGACUUAAGAUGGCGGCGUUUGCACGGAGUGCAAUCACUGCGUCCUUACGGGGGUUGCAAGGCGUCCGAAGUAUGAGUCCACUAACAAAAGUCCAGAAACUCGCCAGUUAAUAGUAUUGUGUCUCUUCAAAAUAUCGGAGAAUAAUUUCUUUCUCGCUGAUCGCCUAACUUCUACUGACGAAGCUUGGAAGUUGCAGAAGGUUGGAGUGCAAUGGCGCGAUCUCGGCUGACUGCAACCUCCACCUCCUGGAUUCAAGCUAUUCUCCUGCCUCAGCCUGCCGAGUAGCUGGGAUUACAGGCAUGUGCCACCGCACCCAGCUAAUUUUGUAUUUUUUAGUAGAGAUGGGGUUUCUCCAUGUUGGUCAGGCUGGUCUUGAACUCCUGACCUCAGGUGAUCCGCCCACCUCAGCCUCCCAAAGUGCUGGGAUUACAGGCGUGAGCCACCGCGCCCGGCCAGAACAUUAGUUUUAAACUUCCUAACCCUUGGGAGAAGGCAAAACACUUGAUGAAAUCUACAUAAAGACUAAAACAUUUUACCAAUUUUGCAUUGUUUGUUUGAAAUUGCAUUGACGACUGGUACUGGCUCCUGUAUCACCCAGCUCUGGAGUUGAAAGAGCUCUUCAUUCCUGAGUCUCCUGUACCACUGAGAAUAGGCUGGAGUGCAGUGGCGCAAUCUCGGCUCUCUGCAACCUUCACCUCCCGUGUUCAAGUGAUUCUCCUGCCUCAGCCUCCUGAAUACCUGAGAUUACAAGCAUGCACCACCACGCCCGUCUAAUUUUGUAUUUUCACUAGAGACGGGGUUUCUCCAUGUUGGUCAGGCUGGUCUCGAACUCCCGACCUCAGGUGAUCCGCCCGCCUCAGCCUCCCAAAGUGCUGGGAUUACAGGCAUGAGCCACCGCGUCCAGCAAGAAUAGGUGAUUUUCAAACUUGGAAACAUUCAGAAGUUAUCGCCUCAGUUUCAGAUUGAGUAGUCUCAAAGAGAUUACAGACAUCUACCACAAAUUCUCUACUUGGUGUGGUGCAAAAUCAGUAUGAUGUAAACUUUGUCUCUCAGUUUCUUCAAAGGAAAGAAGCAACUGGAACACACAUAUAACACUAACCCUUCCAGCUGCAUUAUGAGGGACCAGUACCUGUCUCAAGGCAAAAUUAUGACUUAGUUCAUCCUCACCUCUGGAGGCCAGUAAAAGUGGGUUAUAGAAGAACAAAGAGGCAUCUAGAUCUUUCACUGGGUUAUUUGGAGAGAAACAUCUCCUACCGAAGGCCAGUUUAACAAGACUGGUAGAGGAGGUUAUCUUAUCUAAUUCACAGAAAUCAACACAUUGAGUCAAGAAAAAUGAAACACAGAAACACUCUAAAUAAAAGAAGAUAAGUCUUCAGAAACCAACCCUAAUGAAAUGAAGAUAUGUGAUUAACCUGACAGGAAAUUAAAAAGAGCAACCAUAAAGAGUCUCAUGGGAGCAAUGCAUGAACAAACUGAGAAUUUUCAUAAAGAAAUAAAAGAUAACAAAAAGUAUAAAGUUGAAGAAUACAAUAACUGGACUCAAAAAUUUAAUGUGUCCAACAGAAGAAUCGAUGAAGCAGAAGAAAGGGCUAUCAAACUUGUAGAUAGGCCAUUGGAAAUCAUGUAAUGUGAGGAGAAAAAAGAAAAAAGAUUGAAGAUAGUUUAAGAGACUUUUGAGACAUCCUCAAAGGGGAAUAAUUUAUACAUUACCAGAUGGAGAAGAUAGAGGGAAAAGGACAGAAAACAUAUUUGAAGAAAUAAUGUCAGAAAACCUCAUAAUUCUGGCAAGGAAAUAGAAAUUUAGAUCUAAGAAUCUCGAACAUCAGGUAUGAUGAAUCCAAGGAGACUCACACCAAACCAUAUUGUAAUUAAAUAAAGGUUAAAGACAAUCUUCAGAGCAGCAAGGGAAUAGUCUCUUCUUACAUACAAAAUGAUCCACGGAAGACUGUCAGCAGACUUCACCAGAAAACUUUCACGCCAGAAGGCAGUCGUGAUAUAUACAAAAAGCUGAAAGGAAAACACUGCCAUCCAGGAAUACUAUCUCCAACUAUCCUGUGUUUCAAAAAUUAAGGAGAAAUAUAAAGUUCUCAAACAAAAGAUGUGGGAGUUUACCACCACUAGACCUGCACGGGAAGAAUUGCUAAAGGGAGUCCUUCAAGCUGUAGUAAAAGAGUGCUAAUUAGAAACAUG
rnacentral:lncRNA from 1 species